UGAGGAAUAUUGGUCAAUGGGCGAGAGCCUGAACCAGCCAAGUAGCGUGCGGGAUGAAGGCCCUUGUGGUCGUAAACCGCUUUUAUCAGUGAAUAAAGUGCAUCACGUGUGGUGUCAUUGCAGGUAGCUGAAGAAAAAGGACCGGCUAAUUCCGUGCCAGCAGCCGCGGUAAUACGGAAGGUCCGGGCGUUAUCCGGAAUUAUUGGGUUUAAAGGGAGCGCAGGCGGGAGUAUAAGUCAGCUGUUAAAUAUCAGGGCCCAACUCUGUUAUGCAGUUGAAACUAUAUUUCUUGAGUACGCACAGGGAUGGCGGAAUUCAGGGUGUAGCGGUGAAAUACUUAGAUAUCCUGAAGAACUCCGAUCGCGAAGGCAGCCAUCCGGAGCGUAACUGACGCUGAGGCUCGAAGGUGCGGGUAUCGAACAGGAUUAGAUACCCUGGUAGUCCGCACGGUAAACGAUGAAUACUCGCAGUUCGGCCGUUUAGGUCGAGUUGUCCAGCGAAAGCGUUAAGUAUUCCACCUGGGGAGUACGCCGGCAACGGUG
rnacentral:rRNA from 1 species